rnacentral:rRNA from 1 species
CCUACGUGAGGCUGCAGUGGGGAAUAUUGGGCAAUGGGCGCACGCCUGACCCAGCAACGCCGCGUGAAGGAAGAAGGCUUUCGGGUUGUAAACUUCUUUUGUCAGGGAAGAGUAGAAGACGGUACCUGACGAAUAAGCCCCGGCUAAAUACGUGCCAGCAGCCGCGGUAAUACGUAGGUGGCAAGCGUUGUCCGGAUUUACUGGGUGUAAAGGGCGUGUAGCCGGGUUGACAAGUCAGAUGUGAAAUCCUGCGGCUUAACCGCAGAACUGCAUUUGAAACUGUUGAUCUUGAGUACUGGAGAGGCAGACGGAAUUCCUAGUGUGGCGGUGAAAUGCGUAGAUAUUAGGAGGAACACCAGUGGCGAAGGCGGUCUGCUGGACAGCAACUGACGGUGAGGCGCGAAAGCGUGGGGAGCAAACAGGAUUAGAUACCCUUGUAGUC